rnacentral:rRNA from 1 species
UACGGAGGGUGCAAGCGUUAUCCGGAUUCACUGGGUUUAAAGGGUGCGUAGGCGGGUAGGUAAGUCCGUGGUGAAAUCUCUGAGCUUAACUCAGAAACUGCCGUGGAUACUAUUUGCCUUGAAUAUUGUGGAGGUGAGCGGAAUAUGUCAUGUAGCGGUGAAAUGCUUAGAUAUGACAUAGAACACCAAUUGCGAAGGCAGCUCACUACACAAUGAUUGACGCUGAGGCACGAAAGCGUGGGGAUCAAACAGGAUUAGAUACCCUGGUAGUCCACGCCCUAAACGAUGAUUACUCGACAUCAGCGAUACACUGUUGGUGUCUGAGCGAAAGCAUUAAGUAAUCCACCUGGGAAGUACGUUCGCAAGAAUGAA